AGUGAACGCUGGCGGCAGGCUUAACACAUGCAAGUCGAGCGGAGAUGAGGUGCUUGCACCUUAUCUUAGCGGCGGACGGGUGAGUAAUGCUUAGGAAUCUGCCUGUUAGUGGGGGGCAACAUUCCGAAAGGAAUGCUAAUACCGCAUACGGCCCACGGGGGAAAGCAGGGGGGCGUCGGAGCGUGAGCGAAUAGAAGAGCAUACGUCGGAUUAGAUAGUUGGUGGGGUAAAGGCCUACCAAGGCGACGAUCUGUAGCGGGUCUGAGAGGAUGAUCCGCCACACUGGGACUGAGACACGGCCCAGACUCCUACGGGAGGCAGCAGUGGGGAAUAUUGGCCAAUGGGCGGAAGCCUGAUCCAGCCAUGCCGCGUGUGUGAAGAAGGCCUUUUGGUUGUAAAGUACUUUAAGCGAGGAGGAGGCUACCUGGAUUAAUACUCUAGGAUAGUGGACGUUACUCGCAGAAUAAGCACCGGCUAACUCUGUGCCAGCAGCCGCGGUAAAAC
rnacentral:rRNA from 1 species